rnacentral:rRNA from 1 species
UACGAAGGGGGCUAGCGUUGUUCGGAAUCACUGGGCGUAAAGCGCACGUAGGCGGCUUUCUAAGUCAGGGGUGAAAUCCUGGAGCUCAACUCCAGAACUGCCUUUGAUACUGGAGAGCUUGAGUCCGGGAGAGGUGAGUGGAACUCCGAGUGUAGAGGUGAAAUUCGUAGAUAUUCGGAAGAACACCAGUGGCGAAGGCGGCUCACUGGCCCGGUACUGACGCUGAUGUGCGAAAGCGUGGGGAGCAAACAGG